UUCCCAUGUGACUAUGGACUUUCCGUUUUGAAUUUUCCUCGGAGUACAGUACUUUUGUUAUUUUACUUUUUAUAACCUAUUGGAGUUUUUUUUUAAUCUUUAUACAUUUGACGGCAAAUCACAAACACAGUGUUAAAUGGAUUUUAAUAUUAGACGCGUUUAAAUGACGAAAAAAUAUCAUAAUAAUGAUUGGUUUGCUCGGUGUUUUGAUAGGUUUAACCUGCUUUGAUUGUAUAAAAAAGGUGCUUCUUCCAAGUCUCGCGAGCAUAUGACAGUUACUUUCCAUUUGUUCCGUUGUUUGAUAUUGUCGUUCGCUCGGUUUUGACAGUUUUUUUUUUAUACAAAGAUGCACUCCAGGAAUUCUUACCUUGCAAAGAAUCCAUCAUUAAAAAAGAUAACAUUAAUUGCAAAAUUUUAUUCCUCAUAUUCUUUAAUGAAUUUUGCAAAUUUCCAUUCAAAUAAUGACCACAAAAAUCCUUUUAAAACGCCACAGUCAAAAAUCACAAGUACAUGAAAACAGGAAGUUA
rnacentral:lncRNA from 1 species